rnacentral:lncRNA from 1 species
CCAUCGGCUCGACCCCCGGCUUCCAUCCUAGACCCCCAGAAACCACAAAAUUGUCCGAUUGUAGUGGACAAUUGCUUCCAUCAAAGCUCGGCUCCAUCUGAGAGAAACGAUAGCCCUCAUCGGUAUGCCCUAGCUGACCACAUAAAUAACACACCGCUGGAAUGUUCUUAUAAACAAAUGCCUACUAGAACACCCCUCUUUGCCCUCUAAUGAAGACUUUGGACUUCAAUGGCAUAGUGGC